rnacentral:rRNA from 1 species
GUGCCAGCCAGUCGCGGUAAUACUAAGGAGGCGAACGUUAAUCAUUAAAGGCUUAAAGGAUCCGUAGAACGAUAUAUAAAAUAUAUAAUAGAAUUAAAUAAAGAGAAUAAAGAAUAAUUAUAAUGAGAGAUGAAAUGUAAUGAAAAUAAUUAGACAGAUAAGAAUGAAAAUAGAAUUUAAUAUUUAAUUGACGUUGAGGGAUGAAGGCAUGAGUAGUGAACCGGAUUAGAUACCCGAGUAAUUCAUGCAGUAAACGAUGAAUACUAAUAAAAUAAGCGAAGGUUUAAGUAUUCCGCCAGGUGAGUAUAUUCACAAGAAUGAAAUCCAAGACAAUAGACGGUUACAGGUGUAGGCAGUGGAGCAUGUUAUUUAAUUCGAUAAUCCUCGAGAAUCUUACCAUUAUUUGUAUUAUAUUUAUAUAUAUAUAAAUAUAACAAAUGUUACAUCGUUGUUUAAAGUCUGUGCUUUAAGGUUAUGAUUAACUUCAUAAACAGACGAAAUUCCAUAUUUAUAAAAAAGAAUAUAAAUAUAUAUCUUUUUAUUUAAGAAAAGAGAUAUUAUAAUGGAACUACAACAAAUCCUGAUGACUUUAAUAUAAUGGGCUAAAGACGCAAUACAAAAUAUUUAAUAAAAUAAUAUAAAAUAAUUAAUUAAAUAAUUAAUUAAAUAAAUAUAUAAAAUAUAUUUAUAUAAAUAUAUAUAAUAUGAAUUAAUAUCUGAAAUUCGAUAUUAUGAAAAAGGAAUUGCUAGUAAUCAUAAUAUAUAUAAUUAUGGUGAAAUUCAUCCCUGUUUCGUACUAAUUACUCAUCAUUCGCUGGAAAGGGCUCUAAUUAAAAAAUAUAAUAUUAAUUAUUUAUACUCCUUACCUUAUAUUUAAUUUAAUAUUAUAUUAUCAAUUAGUAACUAACCAGUGAGAAGUUGAAAUACAGUUACUGUA